AAGGUAUAUCAUAAAUGAUUUCCUGAUUAAAAAAAAAAAAAAAAUAGAUGCAGAAUUAUCGCCGAUUAUCGCACAGAUAAUUACUCAAGGAUUAUACUAUUAUUUUUUACGCCAUUAAACAGAAAAAUAAGGAAAGGCGCUAAGUUAUUAUUGGCAGGAAGGAUGAAAUUUCAUCUCGUAUGAAAGAAUGUAGCCUAGAGGGUCCACGACCACUACCUGAAGUCUGCAUUCAGCUCGAUCUCGACGUGUCUAGCCGGGUUUUCUUAGCUCAACUGACCUUAUCCGGAGUGCUGGAGACACAAUGAGAUAUAGAUCGUUAUAUAAAUUAAUUGUCGUUAGAUAAUCUAACAAUUGGAUUGUUCACUAUCGUUCGUAACAGAUACAGCCAUCAAUCACAAACGAGUUCACUUCUCUUUAUUUUUAUUUUAUUUUUUAUUUUCGAAGAUAAAAGGACGACGUAUCUAUAAGACAUUAAUAAACCGCAGCAAUAUCACGUGUGUUUUGUUAUAAUAUUGUUUACACGAAAGGAACGAUGGAGUCGCGUUAAGCUUUAAAGUGCACGAAUUAUUGGGAGCUCUUAUAGAUGUCAGUUUAUGAGGGAGAGCAAUCACGACCAAUUUUACUAGCAAUUAAAGGAUGUGUAAUAAAGCCAUCUGUAUGCAGAUGAUAUUUAUUAUGAGCCAUGCGUGGAAAGGAAAUACCAUCCGUCACGCGUGAGUUUUUAUUCAUAGACUUCGAUAAAUCACUCGAUUAGAACUAUUUUUUCAUCGAUUCUCUAAAUUCCUUUUUUUUUUUAUAUGAAAGAAAAAAAAACUGCAUUUCCGCGAAUUUCAUCCGGAAAAUAUACAUGUAUAUAUAUAUGCGUGUGCAUAAUGGUAGCUGCGGUCAAUUUUCCGUAUUAAAUUAUUAUUUUUUUCCAUUUUUUUACUGCGUUAAAAAAGUCGGAAAUUUUAGGAGUCGAUGCAAGUUUUGUAACGAAAGUAAAGUCGGAGAAGGUCAUCGUCCGCUUGUUGCCAUGACAACGUGGACUUGUACAGGUGUCGAACGUUACGUAACGUCCGUAACGUAACAUCGGUUUAGCUGAAUGAUCCCAGCAUGAAAAAAUUUUCCUAUCAUUAAUUGGGAAUUUUUUUUUUUUUUUUCCGAAGGUUGGCAAAAACCGGGAAUACACAAAUUUGGAAAAAGGAAAUAUUCCUUAUACGUAUAUAAAUGCUAAACUAUUAACCACAUUUUUAAACAUUGUUUACGUGGUUCUAAAAACGUGACGAGAAUAGGAAACAGUAGGGAUAAAUCCCCGAGUUGCAGCGAAACAUCUAUAGCGCGCAAGAGAAACAAAGGAAAACCAGCGGGGUAUGUUAAACAGAAAGGCGAGACGUCCAAUUAAAAAACAUGACAACGUUUUUUUUUCUCUUUCCUUUGACAACUUUCGAUUUAAAUAACAAAAUGUCCAUUUAAAUAUCCAUUAGUUUGAAUGUCACUUAUAGGGAUUUUUCAUCUAUUGUCUCCCUUUAAAUAUAUAUGUAUAUAUAUAUUUUCUCUCUCUGCCUGCAGUUAUAUAAACAGGUGUGGUUUUCCCACACGCCACUUGAACUAGUUAAAGAUGGCAGGUCAAAAACCAAACGGUCACAGGUGGGAUCGUGUAGACCUAUAUUACUCUGGGAACAGGGAGAAAAUUGAAUACUUAUCUCCUUAAUAUUCUAACUUUGUAGAGGAAUACGUAUUAAACCCGAUUUAUUCCCUAGAACCUUCCGCAGUUCUUUGACAUUUUUCUUUACUUUGCCACUAAAGAAAACUGGUAGAAAUCGAGAUUUUUUUUUCACUUCUAUCAAGUGUAAGACUUCGGAAACUAAAAAAAAGAAAUCCUUAUUUUUUUCGUUUUUAAACGUGAAAGAAAAGUACAAUUUACUCGAACCGAAAACUUUUGUGUUGGAGAUAAAGUGCAACCAUUUUAGUCACUUAAAAGUGCCUUACAUAAAGAACGGUUGCUCACUUGUCACUUUGUGGUAUAUUAUCCGCUUGGUCAGCUUGUCUCGAAGAGUUCAGCCAGGACAUCAUCGGGAUACCAAGUCGGAUUACCGAUAAAAAGAAUAAACGACACGGCAAUGAUGUCUUACAAGAAGGACUACUGAUUUUCACCGCAGCCAUCCUUGCUGUCCGUCUUUUUCCUUAUUUGUCAGUAAAGAAUGACACCGAAAAGUAAACCGUACGUCUUUUUUACUGGGUUGUAUGUUUUGCUUUAGUUUGUCUUUGGAUAAUUGAGGAAGGUUUGCGAAAUUUUACUCUUUACAGAAGUUCGGUUGGCAUACUUCCCCACUCGAGUCGAGAUCCAUUCAAAGUUCUCGUAAACAAUUACGCGCGGUGCAUCGAUCCCGAAUAGAUUAUCGUAUUUCAAGUAAAAAUGGAAUUAAAAAAAAAAAUUCUGAGGAGGGGGUGACGAUCUGUAGCUCAUCGUUUAAGGGCGUGGUACGACGAAAUUUCAGAUUUGGGCGUGGUCGUCUCGAAAGUUGAGCUAGAAAGAUCUCUUGACAUGUUUGAAAUAUGCUUACCAAUACCGGAGACACGUCACAAAAGUCUCGGUUAAAGCUUAUCACGCAUUUAUUUAUCGUAGAAAGUUUGAAAAUCAUUUUUAGCCCCCGACUUCGGAGGGGGUUUGUUUAUAUAUGUAGGACGAUAGCGUUCAAGGACGACUCAAUGGUGUAUCUUAGGUCACUCAAUCGUCGCCCUGCUGUUAGCACUCCUACAAGGUAUGAAUGAAACGACAACAGCCUAGUGAAUGAAAAAUCCGAGUUGGAGAAAGUAAUUUAAUCCGUUCACGUCACUAGUUUCGUAAUGCACCCAACGGUCUUUGUUACGGACUUGUUUAAACGCUUAUGCUCGUUGUAGAAUUAAAUAAUUAGAUAGUUCUAAAGUCGAAUCGUUAUGGUUGACUUAGACUACGUUCAUGUUCCUCGGCUUGUUUGCAAACUACAAUCGACGUGUCAAGAAAAGUUGUUGUUGCGUAACUUAAUGUGUCCGGUUGAAGGAACUGCGGUCUUUGUAAGUUUUAGAACAUGCAUUAGGUACAUGUCACAUUUGUUCAAUUGUAGACACCUUGCAAAAGACAACUAUGCAAUAAAUUCCCAUUUACAGUGGCCAUGUUCACUUUAUACGCCAUUCCUAUUCCGUAAACUUACAGGAAUAAGUAAAAGUGUAAGAAGAGGAUAGUUGUUUAGUCGGGUGUUGUUUUUACCGAUAAAUAUUUACAUAUCUGUGUAUCGGUUUAUAAGGAAGUUUCGUUAUGUUUAUAUUGCGUGAGUUUUCAAACAUUGCAUAUGAAACAAACGAUAAUACUUUCUUGUUUUUUUUCUCUUUCUUUUUUCGUUUCUUUUGCCAGUUUCAGAUUUUCGGAUUGGAUCUCUGCCAAAUGACUAGACAACCUUCAUUUCUAUUGUAAAAUUUACGUGUUCAAAUUAGCAUGAAAUGAGAACGACACACACACACUACCUUACUAACAUGUACGACCGAAGUAUAUACACUCGCAACUUGAUUAUCAAAUGUCAUAUACAGUAACUGUUCAUCGAGUACUGAAGAGUAAGAAUACAAGAAAAUUAACCGUUUAUAUUCCCUAAUAAAUUUUUUUUUUUUCUCGUAUGGAAAAUUUUAAUCGGGUUUCGCGAACUGUACGUGAAGAUUUCAUCACGUGACAGCGAAGAUUUAAUUAGUUUUGGCUCCUCGAAACAGUACGCAUCCACUCGCAACUGGGAUGCGAAUGAACUUGAACUGCUUAGAAGUGCCAAAAAUUACUCGCACGAAAGUUCGGUACGAGUAACCCGAGCGCUCGUUUUCUUUUUUUCUUUUUUUUUAUAAAGAAAACAAACAGAAUUUUUACUCGGAUGCGAAUAUUUAACUGCCAGACCGCAUUUUUAUAACUGGUAACUGCUAUUCAGUAAGUAAAAGAGCAGCAAACUCGCUGAAAAAUGACAAUGAUAACUUCCUGCUGAACAGGAAGAUCUGGAUUCUUAGUCGGCUCCCUGAAUCGAAAGUGUCAACUUGGAAGCAUCCUUAUAAUGAGAAAAGUUCAUACUCACUUCGCUAUUGAUUGAGACGUUAAUCUAAUGAGGAAGUAUUACACUUAACUAUUUUUUUUUCUUCUUGUCUAGUUAAGAGCAUUUUUUUGUUUUUUCCUCUCUUUUUCC
rnacentral:lncRNA from 1 species